GACACCCCUGGAAAGCAAGAGGUUCAGGGCAGCCCUUGAAAACAAGCUCUUGGCGGUGCCUGCAGUGCUUCUGGUUGGCAUUUACUGUGGGACCCUGCUGGCAGCGUGGAGGAUGCAGGCAAAGGCACGCACAGAGGAAGACGACCAGGGAGCGUUGGGGAUGAGUUUAGAAGACAUGAUCAAGUCUAACUGGGCCCUGAAAAGCUUGGGU